rnacentral:rRNA from 1 species
GACGAACGCUGGCGGCGUGCCUAAUACAUGCAAGUCGAGCGAAUCAAUAGGAGCUUGCUCCUGUUGGUUAGCGGCGGACGGGUGAGUAACACGUGGGCAACCUGCCUGUAAGACUGGGAUAACACCGGGAAACCGGUGCUAAUACCGGAUAAUCUUCUUCCUCUCAUGAGGAAAAACUGAGAGUCGGUUUCGGCUGACACUUACAGAUGGGCCCGCGGCGCAUUAGCUAGUUGGUGAGGUAACGGCUCACCAAGGCGACGAUGCGUAGCCGACCUGAGAGGGUGAUCGGCCACACUGGGACUGAGACACGGCCCAGACUCCUACGGGAGGCAGCAGUAGGGAAUCUUCCACAAUGGACGAAAGUCUGAUGGAGCAACGCCGCGUGAGCGAUGAAGGCCUUCGGGUCGUAAAGCUCUGUUGUUAGGGAAGAACAAGUACCGGAGUAACUGCCGGUACCUUGACGGUACCUAACCAGAAAGCCACGGCUAACUACGUGCCAGCCGCCGCCGUAACAC